rnacentral:rRNA from 1 species
UACAGAGGGGGCUAGCGUUAUUCGGAAUUAUUGGGCGUAAAGGGCGCGUAGGCGCCAUGCGUGUCUUCCGUGAAAUCCCUCGGCUUAACUGAGGACGUGCGGAAGAAACUGCAAGGGCUCGAGUCCGGGAGAGGGGGGUGGAAUUCCCAGUGUAGCGGUGAAAUGCGUAGAUAUUGGGAGGAACACCGGUGGCGAAGGCGGCCCCCUGGACCGGUACUGACGCUUGAGGCGCGAAAGCGGUGGGUAG